rnacentral:rRNA from 1 species
UACGUAGGGUGCGAGCGUUAAUCGGAAUUACUGGGCGUAAAGUGUGCGCAGGCGGCGCCGCAAGUCGAGUGUGAAAUCCCCGAGCUUAACUUGGGAAUUGCGCUCGAAACUACGACGCUGGAGUAUGGCAGAGGAAGGUGGAAUUCCACGUGUAGCGGUGAAAUGCGUAGAGAUGUGGAGGAACACCGAUGGCGAAGGCAGCCUUCUGGGCCAAUACUGACGCUCAUGCACGAAAGCGUGGGAGCAAACAGG